rnacentral:tRNA from 1 species
GCGCCCGUAGCUCAGUGAAUCAGAGCGCCUGACUACGAAUCAGGAUGACGGGGGUUUGAAUCCCUCCGGGCGUUCCA